UCGAGCGGCGAACGGGUGAGUAACACGUGAGCAACCUGCCCUAGGCUUUGGGAUAACCCCGGGAAACCGGGGCUAAUACCGAAUAUUCACUGUUGGCCGCAUGGCUGGUGGUGGAAAGUUUUUCGGCUUGGGAUGGGCUCGCGGCCUAUCAGCUUGUUGGUGGGGUGAUGGCCUACCAAGGCGACGACGGGUAGCCGGCCUGAGAGGGCGACCGGCCACACUGGGACUGAGACACGGCCCAGACUCCUACGGGAGGCAGCAGUGGGGAAUAUUGCACAAUGGGCGGAAGCCUGAUGCAGCGACGCCGCGUGAGGGAUGACGGCCUUCGGGUUGUAAACCUCUUUCAGCAGGGACGAAGCGCAAGUGACGGUACCUGCAGAAGAAGCGCCGGCCAACUACGUGCCAGCAGCCGCGGUAAGACGUAGGGCGCGAGCGUUGUCCGGAUUUAUUGGGCGUAAAGAGCUCGUAGGCGGCUUGUCGCGUCGACUGUGAAAACCCGUGGCUCAACUGCGGGCCUGCAGUCGAUACGGGCAGGCUAGAGUUCGGUAGGGGAGACUGGAAUUCCUGGUGUAGCGGUGAAAUGCGCAGAUAUCAGGAGGAACACCGGUGGCGAAGGCGGGUCUCUGGGCCGAUACUGACGC
rnacentral:rRNA from 1 species